rnacentral:rRNA from 1 species
CACGUAGGGUGCUAGCGUUGUCCGGAAUCAUUGGGCGUAAAGCGCGUGUAGGCGGUCCGGUAAGUCCGCUGUGAAAGUCGAGGGCUCAACCCUCGAAUGCCGGUGGAUACUGUCGGGCUUGAGUACGGGAGAGGCGAGUGGAAUUCCUGGUGUAGCGGUGAAAUGCGCAGAUAUCAGGAGGAACACCGAUUGCGAAGGCAGCUCGCUGGAACGUUACUGACGCUGAGACGCGAAAGCGUGGGGAGCAAACAGG